GCCGCCGUCGCAUUGGUCCAGCGCCGAGAACUUCCAGGCGGCGUAGAGAUGCCCGACCUUGGCCACCACGGCCCCGCGCCGCCGGCACGCCGCGUGGGCCUCAGACAGCGUCAGCCGCCCGGGCACGAAGAACACGUGGCCUGGGGACCAGAGCAGGGCUUUGUGGAAGACGACGGUGACGGUCCAAGGGAGAAGGAGGCGGCAGAGCGUGGGGAGCGCGAGCCAGCCUGGCAUGACGAGGAGUCCGCCCAGCACCGCCCGUAGGGCACAAAGGAGGAGAACCUGCUUCUCAGAGUGAUGGUGGGAACUGAGACUGACUGAAGGACCAGCAGCAGGGACAGCUGGCACUCACAAGUUUGAAGCUGAAUGUGCCUGAAGCUGCUCUGAGCACUUUACAUGUCUGCUUUUAUAUUUACUCCUCCCAGCCAUCCUACAAGCUUCGCACUAUUAGAAUCAUCCACGUUCAGAACUGGAAGGGACCUCAGGACACUCGGCUUCCUCAGUUACCAGAUGAAGAAGAGGACAUGGAGGAGAAAGUGACCUGCCCAAGGCCACACAGACACGGUUGUUGAGUGAAGCUUAGAAUCGCCGCUUUUUCUGCUAAUCAGCCUUCCGCUGCUCUCCUCCACUCUCCGAGUUAGCUGAACUGCGGGGUUUUCACUGGGGCCUGUGUCUGAUAACAAGGAGCCCACCCCACUGGUCCUCUUUGAGGAUUUGAUUGACUGUCUUUUCCCUCUCCGCUCCAUCCUCAUUUCUAAGCCCUUCCCUCUUCCUCCCAGAGAGAAGGACCAACAAGAGAAGACAAACAGCCGCCUGUCUCCUCAGCCAGGGACGCCCUGAUCCAGCGCAUCUGAUUGGCUUCCGCCCAACUCAAACAAACAGCCUCCCGCAGAGAGGGGGACAGUACAGUGGGAGGCAGCCCGUGGCUGCCACCAUUCCAGGCUCACUCCCCACGGCUUCUUUCUCUCCAGAUCACUUCUGAACUGUGGUUUGGAAGUCUCUGGGCGAGCAUGAGGACAUCACUGCAGUGCCUCAGAUGCCACCUGGAGCCCUGACAGGAGACUGUGCCUCAUGUUGACUGCCCUGCCCAGCCUGGAAGUCCUGGGCAGAGCUUGGUCGCCUGUUUGUCACUCCAGCCCCUUUAUUUGGGGCUCUUGAGAAGUGGGCCUCAUGGUGCCCACUUCAGUACUGAUCAGAACCUAGAAACUAGCACCAAGGAUGUCCAGAGGGAGGAGCUGGCUGGCUGUAUGGGCAGCUUCUUCCUGGCUCUGAAACGUCUCAGAGGAAUAGGAUGGGGGUGUCAUGCUGUCCUCAUCUCAACCUGGCAGAUGUUCAGGUUCAUCAAUCAUGUCUGUUCUGAGGGUGUUGGGGGGCAGCGGGGGCAGCGGGCCAGGCCGUGCUCCUCUCAAGUCCUUCUUUUCCGAAGGGCCUCACUGUGCAGAGAAGCAGGUGAGGGGCAGAAGUAGACGGCCGUAGAGAAUUCUCAGUCUAGCGGGAUAACACCUGUUCUGUCGACCUCAGAGGUAGACGAGGGUAGAGUAAAAUCAUAGAAAGCGCAGAGAACAGCAAAAGACAAGUGUCCAGUGGCUAUUUUCAUGGUUAAUAAGAUUUAACGAUUGUAUUUUACUUAUUAAUAAUCACAUCACCUCUCAUCCUGUCUGUAACAGUCAGUUCACUGCUAUAUCCAAGUGGGCCACUGAAACUGCGUCUUCGUUCGACCACCCCUGCCAAGGCCUUGAGAUCCUGACCCCUCGUUUUAUCUCCCAGACCCCAAAGCUCGCUCAGAGCCCUGCUUCUCUCCCCACUGUGGCUGGGCUGGGCUGGGCUGGGCUGGGUCUGACUUUCGUUGGUACAGACUCUCCCUCCCAGUCUCAUACUAGUCAAACUUAAACCCAGAAGUAAGAAGAUUUGCAGGUUUUAAUCAACUAUUCUCAGAUAGAAUUUGAAUAAUUUAAAAAAGUGAGCCCUAUCUUAUAGCUCCACUUUCCUUCACACGGGAGAAAUAAACACUACCACAGUAUAAUUAUUCCCAUUUUAUGGACAAGGAACCUGAUGUCCAGACAAGGCAGGUAGUCUGUUCAAGGUCAUAUGGCUACUAAGUGACCCAGUAGCUUAUCGCAGAAGCUAGCUGAGGUCCUCCCUUCUGUGAAAGGAUAUUUCCUCCAAACUUGGAAAAGGUAAAAUGCGGAUUGCUCAGUUUUUCGUUUUUGUCUUUUUGGUAUCACUCUAGAGCAUUGUCCAAAAAGCUUGCUGGACACUCAUCUUCCUCUCCCGGGGAGGGUAACUUUGUUGUUACAGUGUAUUUGAUAAAUAAUCGACAACAGACAAAGAUGCAGACACUUACAGUCGUGUAUGGUUAGUGGUUAACUGGCAGAAGUUGAUAAAAUGAUAAGGUUGUAUUGCCCAACAGAGAGGUUAACCACAAAAGUGUUUUCGUUUUAUUGUCCGAGAAUGUUGACCAGUCUCGUAUCUAAAUUAGCAAUCUCAUUUUGGCAUUCCUUUUCUUCUUGACUGUAUAAGUCCCUGUUGCUCAAAUGCUCU